CUUAUUAUUUUUUUUUUCAAAAAUAAAUUUAUUGCAGCACAAUUAAUAACUACUAGACCUUGUUCAACCUGUUUUACACCAUUUAACAAUUCUCAACUUUUGAUUCAAGAUGAAAAUUAUACAAAUUCUUCAUGGAGGCAACAAACAAACAUUAUCUAUCAUCGCUUCUGCAGUAAUCACCAGCAUAAAAAAAAAAAAGAAUUGCGUUAUGGCAAAAAUAAGAAUUGUUUUAUGGUUGUCUACAACACUAUUUGCCAACUAUUGCUUAAAAUGUGUAAAUACAAUCUCUUCAACAGAAAUAUAUGACAUUUUAUAUGCCUUAAAUUUCCAUUUAUUCAAGAUCUCUUGAGCUCUGAAAAAGGCAUGUCAAUGGCAGAAGAUAUUGGAUUCUUCAGAGUCACGUAGGCUUUCUUGUAAUUUGGCCUAGCCACCAAGAGACCCUCUCUUUUUUCCUUCUUCCCCUGCAUGCAUAUUCAGUGUUCUUACAUUCUCAAUAUUUCACUGCAACUUUUGAUGGCGACAGGGGAUGAAGUGCCUAGAAGUGGUUUAGAGAAGUUUUUCAACAACACUACUUGUCAUUGAUUGUUGCCCAC
rnacentral:lncRNA from 1 species